rnacentral:rRNA from 1 species
CACGUAGGGCGCAAGCGUUGUCCGGAAUUAUUGGGCGUAAAGAGCUCGUAGGCGGUCUGUUACGUCUGCUGUGAAAUCCACUGGCUUAACUGGUGGCUUGCUUUCGAUACGGGCAGACUGGAGGUAUGCAGGGGAGAACGGAAUUCCUGGUGUAGCGGUGAAAUGCGCAGAUAUCAGGAGGAACACCGGUGGCGAAGGCGGUUCUCUGGGCAAUGGUCCUGACGCUGGAGGAGCGAAACGUGUGGGGAGCGAACAGGA